AGACCCUGCAUAAGCCACUUGAUCCACUUGGAGUCAGUCCUGAGACCAUCUUCUGCUGCUCUGCUGGCCUAGCCAGGACCAGCUCCCAGCUGCAGGGCACAGCUAUUGCAAGUGCUACCUGAUUUGGGGGGGCUCAUGCUUAAAGAGGUGCUAGACAGAUGCUCCAAAAACAGCGGAUCUCCCACUUUACCUCACCAUGCCUGGUGGAGCAACCACUGGCCACAAGGAUGGAGUACUCCAUGACCACCAUGUGCCAUGUCUUUCCGGUGACAUAGAUGCAUACUUCAGCUCAAGAGGAUGCAAGGAGUGGACAAGAACAAAUACGAAAGCACGCAGUCCUCAGGCAAGGAAGAAAAAGCACAGUCUGGCACGACACCGGUCUAACAGUCAGCACUGCUCUGCUGUAAAGAGCUGCCAGAAGACCAAAGAGCAGCAGUUAGUUGCCACCUUCACACAUCAAAGCUCUACAAGUGGAGGUGAAAACACCCUGCCCACCACUCCGUCUUGGCUGCAGUCCCCAGGAGGUGGGUUUUUUUUUUUUUUCCUUUCCCAGGAAGAUUUUGCCUUGCUGCUUCUCCUUUCAUUCACGCUAGUGGAAAAGCUCAGCUUUGCACUACCCACAGCAGCUGGGCCAGCCUGCUAG
ensembl:lncRNA